UAGGCCUACGUGGGGCAGCAGUGAGGAAUAUUGGUCAAUGGGCGGAAGCCUGAACCAGCCAAGUCGCGUGAGGGAAUAAGGCCCUACGGGUCGUAAACCUCUUUUGCCGGGGAGCAAGGGCCGGGACGCGUCCCGGCCCGGAGAGUACCCGGAGAAAAAGCAUCGGCUAACUCCGUGCCAGCAGCCGCGGUAAUACGGAGGAUGCGAGCGUUAUCCGGAUUUAUUGGGUUUAAAGGGUGCGCAGGCGGACCAUCAAGUCAGCGGUAAAAUCGUGGGGCCCAACCCCAUCCCGCCGUUGAAACUGG
rnacentral:rRNA from 1 species